rnacentral:rRNA from 1 species
GAUCAACGCUGGCGUCUUGCCUCCUACAUGCACGUCGAGCGCACAGAUGCGGAGCUUGCUCCUCUUACGUUAGCGGCUGACGUUUUAGUUACACUUGGCUCCCCUCCCUCUACGCCUGGCAUAACUUCGUGAACCCGUCGCUAAUACCGGUUACUAUAUUGAACCACAUUGUUCAAUAUUGAACUACGUUUUUGCUGUCACUUAUAGACGGAUCCGCGCCGCAUUAGCUAGUUGGUAAGGUAACGGCUUACCAAGGCACCGAUGCGUAGCCGACCUGAAAGGGGGAACGGGCACACUGGAACUGAGACACGGGCCAGACUCCUACGGGAGGCAGCAGUAGGGAAUCUGCCGCAAUGGGCGAAAGCCUGACGGAGCAACGCCGCGUGAGUGAUGAAGGUCUUCGGAUCGUAAAACUCUGUUAUUAGGGAAGAACAAAUGUGUAAGUAACUAUGCACGUCUUGACGGUACCUAAUCAGAAAGCCACGGCUAACUACGUG